rnacentral:rRNA from 1 species
UACAGAGGGUGCAAGCGUUGUUCGGAAUUAUUGGGCGUAAAGGGCGCGUAGGCGGUGCCACAAGUCACCUGUGAAAUCCCCAGGCUUAACCUGGGAAGUGCGCGGAAAACUGGCGAGCUUGAGUGCCGGAGAGGGUCGCGGAAUUCCCGGUGUAGAGGUGAAAUUCGUAGAUAUCGGGAGGAACACCAGUGGCGAAGGCGGCGACCUGGACGGACACUGACGCUGAGACGCGAAAGCGUGGGGAGCAAACAGG